rnacentral:rRNA from 1 species
UACGAGGGGUGCAAGCGUUGCUCGGAAUUAUUGGGCGUAAAGAGCGUGUAGGCGGCCUGAUAGGUCAGCUGUGAAAACUCGAGGCUCAACCUCGAGACGUCGGUUGAAACCAUCUGGCUAGAGUCCGGAAGAGGAGUGUGGAAUUCCCGGUGUAGCGGUGAAAUGCGCAGAUAUCGGGAAGAACACCCGUGGCGAAGGCGGCACUCUGGGACGGUACUGACGCUGAGACGCGAAAGCGUGGGGAGCGAACAGG